rnacentral:rRNA from 1 species
UACACUUGCAGUCGAACGGUGAAGAGGAGCUUGCUCCUUGGAUCAGUGGCGAACGGGUGAGUAACACGUGAGCAAUCUGCCCUUGACUCUGGGAUAACUGCGGGAAACUGUAGCUAAUACCGGAUAUUACCUUGGAAGGCAUCUUCUGGGGUGGAAAGAAUUUUGGUCAAGGAUGAGCUCGCGGCCUAUCAGCUAGUUGGUGAGGUAAUGGCUCACCAAGGCGACAACGGGUAGCCGGCCUGAAAGGGUGACCGGCCACACUGGGACUGAGACACGGCCCAAACUCCUACGGGAGGCAGCAGUGGGGAAUAUUGCACAACGGGCGCAAGCCUGAUGCAGCAACGCCGCGUGAGGGACGAAGGCCUUCGGGUUGUAAACCUCUUUUAGUAGGGAAAAAGCGACUGGGUUUUCCUGGAAGUGACGGUACCUGCAAAAAAAGCACCGGCUAACUACGUGCCAGCAGCCGCGGUAAUACGUAGGGUGCAAGCGUUGUCCGGAAUUAUUGGGCGUAAAGAGCUCGUAGGCGGUUUGUCGCGUCUGCUGUGAAAACCCGAGGCUCAACCUCGGGCCUGCAGUGGGUACGGGCAGACUAGAGUGCGGUAGGGGAGAUUGGAAUUCCUGGUGUAGCGGUGGAAUGCGCAGAUAUCAGG